rnacentral:rRNA from 1 species
UACGGAGGGUGCGAGCGUUGUCCGGAAUCAUUGGGCGUAAAGGGCGCGUAGGUGGCCCGGUCAGUCAGUGGUGAAAGCGCGGGGCUCAACUCCGCGUCGGCCAUUGAUACUGCUGGGCUUGAGCACUGUAGAGGCAGGCGGAAUUCCGGGUGUAGCGGUGGAAUGCGUAGAGAUCCGGAAGAACACCGGUGGCGAGGCGGCCUGACUGGGCAGUGGCUGACGCUGAGGCGCGACAGCGUGGGGAGCAAACAGG